rnacentral:rRNA from 1 species
CCUACGGGAGGCAGCAGUGGGGAAUAUUGGGCAAUGGGCGCAAGCCUGACCCAGCAACGCCGCGUGAAGGAAGAAGGCUUUCGGGUUGUAAACUUCUUUUCUCAGGGACGAAGAAAGUGACGGUACCUGAGGAAUAAGCCACGGCUAACUACGUGCCAGCAGCCGCGGUAAUACGUAGGUGGCAAGCGUUAUCCGGAUUUAUUGGGUGUAAAGGGCGUGUAGGCGGGAGAGCAAGUCAGAUGUGAAAACUCAGGGCUCAACCCUGGGACUGCAUUUGAAACUGUGUUUCUUGAGUGCUGGAGAGGCAAGCGGAAUUCCGGGUGUAGCGGUGAAAUGCGUAGAUAUUAGGAGGAACACUAGUGGCGAAGGCGAGUUCCUGGACAUUAACUGACGCUGAGGCACGAAGGCCAGGGGAGCGAAAGGGAUUAGAUACCCUAGUAGUC